ensembl:lncRNA
GGAAUGAAUAGCAAGCAGGCCUCCCUUCAUGUUCCUGCUCCAGCUCCUCUCCUGACUUCUGCCCAUGAUGAACUGUCAUCUAUAAGCUUAAAUAAGCCCUUCCUUCCUGUCAUGGUACUUGUUAUGGCAACAGAGAUGAAACUAGAAUGGGAUUGGGUGGGAUUUGUUCCCUCUGUCCUCCGAAAUUGUCAAUAGACUGAACCUUGAUUGAGAGGUUGGAGUCCACACUCAGCUGACCAGAAUAAACCAUAGAGUUUUCUGGCCAACUCAAAUGGGGAGAGAGGGACACAGAGAGGAAGGAGGAGGGACUUAGGAAAUUCACAGGCCUUUUUUGAUCUUGGAAAAGCAGAGAGGAGGGUCAGUUGGUCUUUUCUCCAUUGCAUUUUGAAUCUACCAGAGUAGGAUGCAGGAAAACUGAUGCAAAACUCCUGCCUUCCUGGAUAAAGGGAGGAGGCUAGGGAGACUGAUGAAAUUCACAAGAAACCUAACAAGACACAAGAGGCCCUUCCCUCAGGUUAUAUGAGCAGCAAACAGUAGCAGCAAUGUUCUGCCUCUACUUAGGCUCAAACACGAUGGAACCAGCCAACCACAGACUGAGACCAACGGCUUGUGAAACAUCAAGAAGAAUCAUUUCGAACCUACUGUGUCUGCCCAGAAUUAUCCACUUCACACAGUAUUUUGCAUGAUGAGUUUAGAAUGCCUUGGAUAUGAAGACUUCCCCCAAAGGCUGAUUUGUUACAGCUUGGUCUCCAGCUCACAGAUUCAACAUUGACAGCUGAUAGGAUGAUGGGGACUUGACCUAACCAAUGGAUUCAUCAACUGAUGGAGUCCUAAAGAGGGAGCAUGACUGGUGGUGACAGAAGCUUUGGAGGCUGGGCUAGGAUGGAUAAAAUAGAUAAUGGGGUAGGGGCAUGUCUAGGGGUGCUGUGUCUCACCCUGAGUGCCCUCCCUCCCUGUCCCCCUCUUUUCCCUCUGCUUCCUGGCUACUACAAAGUAAGCAAUGUUUCUCCAACACUCCCUUCUUCCAUAACAUGGCCCACAGACUGAAAUCAUGAACCAAAAAGGUCCUUUCAUGUUUAAUAUGAUCUUUUAGGUUUUUGCCACAUUGAUGGCAAUUAACUAAUCUAUCCUUUAACGUCCCUUUUUUUGGGGCACACAAUGGAAAGUUCAAAACCAUAUUUGUAUAAAGGUAAAGGAAAUGCCUGUCCUCUUAGGCAGGAGGCAUACAGAAGUGUAGGCUUCUGCCAUAGUGUUACAUGUUACCAUAAAUGUGUGUUAAACAAUAUUCUUGUUAAGACAUGAAUUGUACCCAUCCAGAACUUUCCAUUUUGACUAUAUUAGAGAUGGGGCCUUUAAUGGGGAGGUCCUCGGGGUUGAGGAGCUGGAAUAGUGGGCGAAGUACUUGUGUAAGUAUGAACAACUGAGUUUGGAUCCUCUACAUAAAAGCCAACUGUGGUAUUGUGUUCCUGUGAUUCCAGCCCUGGAAGGAGGCAGGAGGAUAGCAGAGGCUCACAGGUGGCCAGUCGAGACAACUGAUGAGCUUCAGGUUCACUGAGAGACCCUGCCUCAAACAUAAGGUGGAGGGCAAUUGACAAUGACACUAGACAUUGACCUUUGGCCUCCAAAUGCUCAGUCAUGGGUGCAUUCAUCAGCACAUACAUGUUCACGUCUUUCUCUCACCUUCUCUCCUCCCUUCCUCUCCCUCUCACAGUGUGCUCACAUUUAGAAAGCCAUGCAUGAUGACAAUAAUGUGCCUUCCAAAUGCCAAGGAGAGGCUCACUGGAGUCCAGCCUCUCAGCAGCUGUUAGAAAGUACAUUUGGGAUUUUUAAGCCAUCAGUCUGUAAUAUCUGGCCAGGGACUGCUUUAUGGAAGCACACUCUUGUGACACCUGCCUUCAUUUUAUUCUGUGCAGACACAUCAUUGUCUCCAUGGGGGAAGGGGAUUCUUUUCUCUUCCUUGCUUGCUCUUUUGUAGCACUGGAGAAUCCAGAGCCUCGUGAUGCUGGGCAAGUCCAUAUCACCGAGCUACAUUCAGCCCCUUGGAGAAGUUCCCUAGCUGAGGAUUUUAUGGUAGAAAGAAAGAAAGAAAUGAUUAGAUGUUUGGACACAGAACCAUAAUCAGAUGCAAACUAUGAAUCCCAGCAAAAGUAUAAAUUUAACUUCUUUCUCUUACCUGACUUAAAAAGGUCAAAAACCUGCUUAGGUGACACUUGGGAGUUACCAGGUGAGAUUAUGUGUCACGGAUACUCUUGCUUUAAUAAGGUUUGUUGAUCAGAGCUCUGUCACUGAGACAAAAUGCCCAAGGGAAUACAUUUAAAGGAGGGAAUACUUAUUUCAUCUCUGGUUGUAGAGGUCUUGGUCCAUGGACACUCCGCUCUAUUGUUUCUGGUUCUCUGUCCUGUGACAUUCCUGAUUCCCCAGAUAGGGAGCCAUUAGCAGAUCCAAGUAACUGGUCUGCCAAAGUUCAACCAGAUGAGCCAAUGAGGUUAUUGAGGUUGCUUAUGGGAAUAUAGGGAAGGGUUACUUACAGGUGCAGGGCAGCUCAAAGGCAACAGCAUCAGUGAAAGGGCCACUGGUGCCUGGGUGUGAAUUUGAAAUGCCUUCCAAAGGUACUUGUGGUGAAAGCUUGAUUCACAGCCCGUGGUGCUACGGAGAGUGCAUCUUUAGGAGGCUACUCCUUGGCUACAAUGGGAGGUCUUAGGUCAUUCACAGCAUCCUUGCAGGGAUUGUGGCAUCCUGGUCUCUUUCACACUCUGCCAUGAGGUACACAGGCUUCCUCUACCAAAGGCUUGCCUCAAAAAUCUUCUGUGUGAUGCCAGAAGCAUCAUGAAGUCUCCAGCCAGGAGCCCAAAUAAAUUUCUCUCCUUUGUAAGUUACCUCAGGUAGUUUGUUAUGGUAACAAUGUUAGAAAGGAGAUGGGCAAUCUUCCUUCUCUGUCCCCCAGAAGGCUGCACAAGGCUCCCAGGUUUCUCAAAAAGCCUUUUGCUCCAGAAUGACUUCCUUGUCCUCAUUCUCUUCCUAUUUUUGACGGUAGUGUUGCUAUUGUUCAGUUACCUGCUUAGAUUCCCUUGUGUCUAUACCCGGUUCCUGCUAGCUUCAGUUUCCUACCUCAUGUCUGUCUGUUUUCUGCCUAUGUAGAUGAAGUCCCUUUGUGAAGUUUAUUUAGAUUUUUUGAUUACCUAAAAAAAAAGUCUUUAGUGUAUUUUCAUUCUUGAAAAGCUUUUUACUGUGUUGUGACAGAACACAAAUUAUUGGUUAUUUUCUUUCCAGGGAUCCUGAAAAAUAGUUCUCUUUCAUCUUGUGGUUUUGUUAUUUUUCUUAUUGAAAGUCAGUUGGAUGUCUGAUGGUGGCAUCAGAUGCUGGAGGAGGUAUUCUCUAUCAGGAUCUUUUGAGUAUGAGAUGGUUUUAUUGACAUGCUUUUUAUUGAGGUUUUCAUACAUACAUAUAAUGCGUUUUAAUCAAUGCCAUCCCUUCCAGUUCAUCCCUUAUUCCCAUCCCCACUUUUCUCUCCUAGCUUCAUGUAGUCUCUUGUUUUUGUUUGUUAUUUUAUUUUUUCACAGAGUCUACUUAGUGCUAUUAGAGCAAACAUGAGUGUGGGGCCAUCUACCAGAGCAUGGGUAUCCUUGAGUGAUGGUUUCCCUGAAGUAAACAUCUCCCGUUGGCCAUUUAUGUACAAUAGCCUCUCAGCUAGGAACAUCUUCUCUCAGGACUGGGACUUCCUCUUUGGUUUUGGUGGUGUUUGUUGUUAAAAAUUAAGUAUCCAUUGAUUCUGCUUAUACAUUUUACUUCUUGCUCUGAAGACCUAAAUAUUUCAUCCACCAUCUCUGAAACCUUGAAUACUGCUUGCUUUCUGUCAAUUUUUGAACUCAAACUAAACAUACAUAGAAUAUUGUUUCUUCUCUGACUUUCUUAUUUUUGUGUCUUUGCUUUCUGUCUUACAUUCUAGACAAUUUCCUAAGACUUAAAUUUCCUUUCACUAAGUCUUUCUGCAGCUGAGCCUAACCUGCUGUGUACCCUAUUACACUUCAGAUCUUAUUGAAAACUCUGUUAUUUCAAGAAAUUGAGUUUGGUUAUUUUUCAAAUUUCCUUUGUCUUUUUAAAAUAAAGCAUUGUCCCUCCAC